AGUUCCAUAGCGUAAUGGCUAACGCGUCCCCCUCCUAUAAGGGGAAGAUUGCGGGUUCGAGUCCCGUUGGAACUG